UACCAGCACCCCGAGUGGUCGGGACGUUUAUUGGGCCUAAAGCAUCCGUACCCGGUUCUACAAGUCUUCCGUUAAAUCCAACUGCUUAACAGGUGGGCUGCGGAAGAUACUAUAGAGCUAGGAGGCGGGAGAGGCAAGCGGUACUCGAUGGGUAGGGGUAAAAUCCGUUGAUCCAUUGAAGACCACCAGUGGCGAAGGCGGCUUGCCAGAACGCGCUCGACGGUGAGGGAUGAAAGCUGGGGGAGCAAACCGG
rnacentral:rRNA from 1 species